GGUAGAGGAAAGUCCAUGCUCGCACCACCUGCGAUGGUGGUAGUGUUUGUGCCCGAUGAAAAAAUAAAUCGGGGUAGAUGGGAGCAUCUAACGGCUGGCAAAAACCUAAGUCUUCGGAUAUGGUCGGCGCCUAUAAAAGUGCCACAGUGACGCAGUCCUUCUUGAAAAAGUUGGAAUGGAACGCGGUAAACCCCACAAGCGAGAAACUCAAAUUUGGUAGAGGAACUCCGAUAAGAGAAAUGAAUCUUUGAGGGGAUGCUUAAGCAUAGAUAAAUGGUUGCUUAAUACAGAACAUGGCUUACAGAA
rnacentral:RNase_P_RNA from 1 species